GACUCCAUGGCAUCAACACGUAGUUUCCAUGGCAAGCUUACUCUGCUCAAAUUAUGUUUGUUACAUAGAAGAAACAUGCAUAGAAAAAAAAGUCCACAACAGAUAACUAAAACAUUGGUUGUUAUCAACUGUGAUCACCAACCUCACAACGAUGCUAUGAAUUCUCAUACUCAGUGUAAUAUAUCGCAUCUGACGAAAAGUGGCUUUGGACUUCUUCCAGCCUACCACUUCAUCAUGUACUACCUAUUCAAAAUAGCAAGAGUGUAUAGUAAGAAACUGGACAAGAACCAUCCCCUGGAAGCUCCUGUUCUACCCCAGCAAGAACAGACACAUCUUCUGCGACCGUACGUAGGUACGAAAGCGCCGGCAAAGCACACCAAGGCACCAGGCUUGCAAAACAGGUAUAACGGUCGAAAUAAGAGCAGACAUCCCGCUCACACGCAACCACCAAAUAUAAGCAUAAAACGGAAGUCACACGAGACUGAAAAAUAAGACGACCCCUGGAUAGAUCCGGAACAGAGAGACGGUCAGUCAAUCAACAACCAUGACAACAUGCACAAAAAGAUAAAUAUAUCUUGAGCCACAGAUAACGCACAUGCAUUGGAAAAGGAGAGCAAAUCUUGAGCAUCAGCAGCAGGUUGCAGAUGCAGAAACAGAACAGUUCUUCCAACCUACAGAAUGCACAUGGACAGAACCAUAAGAACAUAGUAGGCAUAAUAAUGUAGGCAUAGAGCGCAUCUAGUCCAUCAACCGCCAAAAAUACAUAUGGAAGUCCAUUUAGUAAACGCAGAGCAGCGUGAUGGCAUCGGAAUAAUUCUUUUUACCAAAGGAAAUAACAUUGCUCAUUAUAUUAAGACACUAUAUUCCCAAUUCCUCUGCCUCCUGAACUGGGACUGCACACAAUUAACAACAAUAUCUGACAUAGAGGUUGAUAAAGCUUAUUAUACUGUCUAGACUGUACUGUUUGAUUCCACACCCGCGACUAAGAUCAACUUCUUUAUUAAAAUGUUGCUUUCUCAGGUGGAUCAUCUAGAGCCUAAAGAGGAAAGUAUGCUGAAGGUCCCUAGUUAUAGCAGUCAUGUGCAGUUUGUUCUGUUGAAAUCCUUUGCCUAUCCUCUUGAAGAAGGGUUUGACGAGAUUACUGUCGCAACAACAAGAACUGAAACAAUGCUUGGCGAUAAAAACAUAGCCGUUCAUCCUGAGGAUAAAAGGUAUAAGCAUCACCAUGGAAAGCAUGGCAUUCACCCGUUCAAUGGCUGAAAACUCAAAAUAAUCCGCGAUGCUGUUAGUGGAACCCACUUUUGGUACUGAAGACGACAAGCAAGCGAUAUUAAACUUCUCUAUCCAUGAAGCAUAGCAACAUACACAUAAUAAUGGCUUGGGAUAAUGAAUAGAAAACCCCAGAAGCUAAAACAAAUAGUAGAAUUUCAUAUGGAAUACCAUAGGCAUCAAAUUGCAAUAUUCACCUUAAAUCCAAAAUGGGCAGCUGAAUUUAAGUACGAAACAAGAAGUGGAAACAGUGCCCAGCGUAGCUGAACUGAAGAAGGACCUCAUCUACAAUCCAAUAAUAAAUUCCUAACAUGACGGCAUGAAAGACCCCGCCACAAGAACUCACGUCUGCUGGGGGAGUGAUAAAGGAAAUAUAUCUGCAAAAAAAAGACUAACUGGGCAGCACCAAAUCCUGUUUCCAUGAAGCUAUAAAAACACAAGAACUCAUGUCUGCUGGUAGUGUUAUAAAGGAAAUAUGUGAAUAUGUACAUGUAAGGUUGCCUCAUUUCUGAAAACACAAAUCCACCCUAACUGAAAGCACAUGAAUAAAAUGCAGAUUCUCUCUUCUUUGAAGAUGUUACAUGACUCGGCAUCUUCCUUUAGGAAAGGACAAUAGUAGAGAAUCAAUAGUGCAAUCAAGAUCUGUAGGUAAACAAAGAAAGAAUUUUGGUCACCACAAACCUCAUUUAGCCUCGUUGUGAUCUCUUAUCUUCCUCAUGUUUACAUCAAUCACAAACAGGAGCAUCAAAAUGAGAUAACAAAGCUUAACAGGAGGGAGAAAAAUCACCUUGAUCUUCUUCAAAUCUCUGGCUAAAUUCUUCUUAUUCUUCCCUUUGUCCUCAGAUCUGCACACGUCUAUGUAUAGAUAACUAAUCAGUUUUGCUAAAGCACAAGUUUAAAAGUGAGUGAUGGAGGAAAUUAGAGGCAAAGAGAGGAGCACCUCGGCAAGAUUCUCGAGGAAGUCCCCUUCCACUUCCCCCACUGCAGCCGAUGCGAUCGUCCAUCGAUCUAUCUCCAUGCUUGGUGGUAGUCGGUGGGGAGUGGAAGAGGAAGGUGAGGUCAUGGCGUACCGUACAAGAUCUCGGCCUUCCUUGCCAUGGCCGAUUUGAUUGUGCCGGAAGCCAUGGGUGGUUGGGGAGAACGAAUUGGAGGACGAUGUUGAGCACAACCGUUCCUCACCAUCGACCAACUCGGCUAGUGCACAGCGUCCAGGCGCCGCAGUCGCUCCAAUGCUCGCCGCCGCUGCCGCCGCCGCAGCCAGCAUCUUACUGCCGAUGUGAAGUGGAGAGCCGGGAAGGUGGAGGGAGGAGGAAGAGAGAGGAGGAGACGAGAGGGUGCUAGGUUCGGUCGGCUCGGGAACGCACGUCGCGUGCGGUGCGGGAGGAGACGCGCACAGGAUUGGACGAAGAGUCAGCCAGGCUGCCAGGCCCCUCUCUCCAGUGGCCGACGAGACGCAGCCUCUCACCGCAAC
rnacentral:lncRNA from 1 species